rnacentral:rRNA from 1 species
UACGUAGGAGGCGAGCGUUGUCCGGAAUUACUGGGCGUAAAGGGCGCGUAGGCGGUCCGGUAAGUCCGCUCUGAAAGUCCGGGGCUCAACCCCGGGAGGCGGGCGGAUACUGUCGGGCUAGAGUCCGGAAGAGGCGAGUGGAAUUCCUGGUGUAGCGGUGAAAUGCGCAGAUAUCAGGAGGAACACCAAUGGCGAAGGCAGCUCGCUGGGACGGUACUGACGCUGAGGCGCGAAAGCGUGGGGAGCAAACAGG